CCUACGGGAGGCAGCAGUGAGGAAUAUUGGUCAAUGGGCGAGAGCCUGAACCAGCCAAGUCGCGUGAGGGAGUACUGCCCUAUGGGUUGUAAACCUCUUUUGUCGGGGAGCAAAAGCCGGACGUGUCCGGCUGUGAGAGUACCCGAAGAAAAAGCAUCGGCUAACUCCGCGCCAGCAGCCGCGGUAAUACGGAGGAUGCGAGCGUUAUCCGGAUUUAUUGGGUUUAAAGGGUGCGCAGGCGGAUUGUUAAGUCAGCGGUAAAAUCGUGGGGCUCAACCCCAUCCAGCCGUUGAAACUGGGGAUCUAGAGUGUGCGAGAGGUAUGCGGAAUGCGUGGUGUAGCGGUGAAAUGCAUAGAUAUCACGCAGAACCCCGAUUGCGAAGGCAGCAUACCGGUGCACAACUGACGCUCAGGCACGAAAGCGUGGGUAUCGAACAGGAUUAGAUACCCUGGUAGUC
rnacentral:rRNA from 1 species